AGGGGCAGAGGGUAUGGCCAAACAAGGAAAUGAAAAGACAGCUGUUCAGGAAACCAAAACACAGCUCGUAUCAUUAGCUGAGAUGUUUUGCAUUUGAGAUAAGCUUCUUGGAAAAUUAUGAGUUCCACAGGAGUCUCCUCUGGGCCUGGGGCAAUGCAGUACCAGUAUAAAAGCCAUCGCAGAUCUUCACUCCCUCAUCCACUUCUUUCUCCUUUUUCUCCAUCGGAAACAAGUGCACCUCCAGCCACAAGACAUGUCCUGCUGCAACCCCUGCCUGCCCUGCCAGCCCUGUGGCCCAACCCCACUGGCCAACAGCUGCAAUGAGCCCUGUUGCAGGCAGUGCCCGAGCUCCAACGUUGUCAUUGAGCCCUCCCCCGUGGUGGUGACCCUGCCUGGCCCCAUCCUCACCUCCUUCUCACAGAACACCGUUGUGGGCUCCUCCACCUCCGCUGCUGUUGGUGACAUCCUCCGCUGUAAUGGAGUGCCCAUCAACUCUGGGUGUUGUGACUUCUCCUGCUUCAGCAACCGCUACUGCGACACAAGGUGCCUGCCUUGCUAAAGCUGUGGCAUGUGGCUCCAGAGAAGGAAACCCAGGAAUCUAGAAGAUGGUAACUGAGCAUGGAGAUCCUCGCUAUUGUUUUCAGAGGGACUGAGCAUUCUUGACUCCACCUGCAAAGAAAUGCAGGAAGCAGCGUGCCUGGCCUCUCUGAAAACAUGGCCCUUGUCUAACUUGCCGUGUUCUCACUCUCUUUUCUCUGUCUCUUCUCUCUCUUGUCUUCUGCUUCCCUGGGCUGUGGGCACCUGCUAAGCCUCAUCCAAGGAUGGACCUCCUGCCACUUUGCUUCUCAGGGGCAGGCAGGCAGAUGCACAGUGCGAAGUCCACCUUGGGAAAGGGGCAAAGACCCCCAGGUACACCUGGUGCUCCCUGUACCAUGACCCCCCACUCAGGGGAACCUCCUUUCCUUUUUCAGUUCAUUAAAGUUCUGCUGCAUCCCA